rnacentral:rRNA from 1 species
AUUGAACGCUGGCGGCAUGCCUUACACAUGCAAGUCGAACGGCAGCGGACCUUCGGGUGCCGGCGAGUGGCGAACGGGUGAGUAAUAUAUCGGAACGUACCUUUCAGUGGGGGAUAACGUAGCGAAAGUUACGCUAAUACCGCAUAUUCUGUGAGCAGGAAAGCAGGGGAUCGCAAGACCUUGCGCUGAUUGAGCGGCCGAUAUCAGAUUAGCUAGUUGGUGAGGUAAAGGCUCACCAAGGCGACGAUCUGUAGCGGGUCUGAGAGGAUGAUCCGCCACACUGGAACUGAGACACGGUCCAGACUCCUACAGGAGGCAGCAGUGGGGAAUUUUGGACAAUGGGCGCAAGCCUGAUCCAGCCAUGCCGCGUGAGUGAAGAAGG